UCCUGGCUCAGGAUGAACGCUGGCGGGCGUGCCUAACACAUGCAAGUCGAACGAGAAUCAAUGGAUUGAGACUUCGGUUGAUUGAAGUUGAGGAAAGUGGCGAACGGGUGAGUAACGCGUGAGAAACCUGCCUUUCAGUGGGGGACAACAGUUGGAAACGACUGCUAAUACCGCAUAACACAUCGAGGAGGCAUCUCCUUGAUGUCAAAGGAGCAAUCCGCUGAAGGAUGGCCUCGCGUCUGAUUAGAUAGUUGGUGAGGUAACGGCUCACCAAGUCGACGAUCAGUAGCCGGACUGAGAGGUUGAACGGCCACAUUGGGACUGAGACACGGCCCAGACUCCUACGGGAGGCAGCAGUGGGGGAUAUUGCACAAUGGGGGAAACCCUGAUGCAGCAACGCCGCGUGAGGGAAGAAGGUUUUCGGAUUGUAAACCUCUGUUUUUAGUCAAGAAAAAAAUGACGGUAGCUAAAGAGGAAGCCACGGCUAACUACGUG
rnacentral:rRNA from 1 species